GGCGUACUGCUCAGUAACACGUGGAUAACCUGCCCUUAGGACUGGCAUAACCCCGGGAAACUGGGGAUAAUUCCGGAUAGUUCAUGGUAGCUGGAAUGCUCCAUGAUCGAAAGCUAUUGCGCCUAAGGAUGGGUCUGCGGUCUAUCAGGUAGUAGUGGGUGUAAUGUACCUACUAGCCGACGACGGAUACGGGUUGUGGGAGCAAGAGCCCGGAGAUGGAUUCUGAGACAUGAAUCCAGGCCCUACGGGGCGCAGCAGGCGCGAAAACUUUACAAUGCGGGAAACCGCGAUAAGGGGACACCGAGUGCCAGCAUCUUAUGUUGGCUGUCCGCAUGUAUAAAUCACAUGUGUUAGAAAGGGCCGGGUAAGACCGGUGCCAGCCGCCGCGGUAAUACCGGUGGCUCGAGUGGUGGCCGCUAUUAUUGGGUCUAAAGGGUCCGUAGCCGGCUUGAUAAAUUACCCGGGAAAUCCGGUGGCCUAACCAUCGGGCGGCCAGGUAAUACUAUCAGGCUCGGGACUAGGAGAGACCAGAGGUACUCAUGAGGUAGGAGUGAAAUCCUGUAAUCUUAUGAGGACCACCAGUGGUGAAGACGUCUGGUUAGAAUAGGUCCGACGGUGGGGGACGAAGGCUGGGGGCGCAAACCGGAUUAGAUACCCGGGUAGUCCCAGCAGUAAACGAUGCCAGCUAUGUGUUGCUGGAACCAUGGGUUCCAGCAGUGCCGAAGGGAAGCCGUGAAGCUGGCCACCUGGGAAGUACGGUCGCAAGGCUGAAACUUAAAGGAAUUGGCGGGGGAGUACCACAACCGGUGGAGCCUGCGGUUUAAUUGGAUUCAACGCCGGG
rnacentral:rRNA from 1 species